rnacentral:rRNA from 1 species
GAUGGACGCUGGCGGCGUGCCUAAUACAUGCAAGUCGAACGCAUUGAGAGAAGUGCUUGCACUUUUCAAUUUGAGUGGCGAACGGGUGAGUAACACGUGGGCAACCUACCUGAUAGCGGGGGAUAACGAGUGGAAACAUUCGCUAAUACCGCAUAACAAUAGAGAAGGCAUCUUCUUUAUUUAAAAGGCGCUUUCAAGCGUCACUAUCAGAUGGGCCCGCGGUGCAUUAGUUAGUUGGUGGGGUGAAGGCCUACCAAGACGAUGAUGCAUAGCCGAGUUGAGAGACAGAUCGGCCACAUUGGUACUGAGACACGGCACAAACUCCUACGGGAGGCUGCAGUAGGGAAUCUUCCACAAUGGACGAAAGUCGGAUGGAGCAACGCCGCGUGUGUGAUGAAGGCUUUCGGGUCGUAAAGCACUGUUGUAUGGGAAGAAAUGCUAGGCUAGGAAAUGAGCUUAGUUUGACGGUACUAUACCAGAAAGGGACGGCUAAAUACGUGCCAGCCGCCGCCGUAA